AGUGCAGAAGGGGAGAGUGGAAUUUCCAUGUGUAGCGGUGAAAUGCGUAGAUAUAUGGAGGAACACCGGUGGCGAAAGCGGCUCUCUGGUCUGUAACUGACGCUGAGGCUCGAAAGCGUGGGGAGCGAACAGGAUUAGAUACCCUGGUAGUCCACGCCGUAAAACGAUGAGUGCUAGGUGUUAGGUCCUUUCCGGGACUUAGUGCCGCAGCUAACGCAUUAAGCACUCCGCCUGGGGAGUACGACCGCAAGGUUGAAACUCAAAGGAAUUGACGGGGGCCCGCACAAGCGGUGGAGCAUGUGGUUUAAUUCGAAGCAACGCGAAGAACCUUACCAGGUCUUGACAUCCCAGUGACUGCCCUAGAGAUAGGGUUUCCCUUCGGGGCACUGGUGACAGGUGGUGCAUGGUUGUCGUCAGCUCGUGUCGUGAGAUGUUGGGUUAAGUCCCGCAACGAGCGCAACCCUUAUUGUUAGUUGCCAUCAUUGAGUUGGGCACUCUAGCGAGACUGCCGGUAAUAAACCGGAGGAAGGUGGGGAUGACGUCAAAUCAUCAUGCCCCUUAUGACCUGGGCUACACACGUGCUACAAUGGCUGGUACAACGAGUCGCAAGCCGGUGACGGCAAGCUAAUCUCUGAAAGCCAGUCUCAGUUCGGAUUGUAGGCUGCAACUCGCCUACAUGAAGUCGGAAUCGCUAGUAAUCGCGGAUCAGCACGCCGCGGUGAAUACGUUCCCGGGCCUUGUACACACCGCCCGUCACACCACGAGAGUUUGUAACACCCGAAGUCGGUGAGGUAACCGUAAGGAGC
rnacentral:rRNA from 1 species